CUGGAGGCGCUCUCCCCUUUCCGCUCCUGCAGCCAUGAGGGUGCUGUGCUUCUCGUGUGGCCCCGCUGUUCAGCAUGUAUCAGCUCCACGCUGCCUUCCUGUGGCUUCAGUGCAGAUUUGCCCCCAAAUGUGGAGACCUAAUACUUCCUCUUCCCAAGGGUUUGAAUCCUGCACUUCAGAGCAAUGCAGAAGGAACAUCAUCACCUGGCACUGGGAGAUUAAACUAUGAGCUGUUGCAGGGUUGCCCUCAACAGAGGAGCCCCACGUCUCUGGUGUGAGAAACCAUUGCGCCUGUUACUGAUGUGGGUGAAUACAAGGCCUCCCUAAUUCAAGGCUUCCAAAUGUUUCUCAUUGUGAGGUGUGAUGGAACUGGGACGUGAGGGACCUGGUAGUGCUGCCAGCAAAAUGUGAAGCUUGCAUGGAGUUGGAGAAACAAGAUGAAUGUGCCUGAGGACAGGACUGUGCUGUUUGCAGUCUUACUGGGUAAGUCCACACAACAGAUGAAUUGUAUUUAAAAACUUCUGGAAAUAUUUGUAGCCACUGAUGAAAAUGAUUCUGCCAGAUGAGUUACUGUGAUAUUACCCUUUCCGUUCCACUUCUGUCUGAGGUUACAAAGCUGUUGAGGAGCUUUUAGCAGUUGUUCUGCUGCAUAUGCUAACUGUGUUUUCUUGAUUUAGGUGAAGAGGCAACUCAAACUGGCAUAUGAAGAAUUGAGAAGUUCUUAUGUCUGUCUUAAUAGGUGGAAGAUUGCUGAUGAAUGGGUUACACUUGCAUGAACAGCAUUAAAAAAGCCAGUGUGUUUUUACCUCACUGGUAAUGUUUGCCUGAUGUUGAUUGGAGUGAAUAAAAAUCUGUAAACUCUA